rnacentral:tRNA from 1 species
AUAUGAGUGUCAGAAUAUUAUGAGUUGGUUUUAAGCAUCAAAUAUAGGGAAUUUACCCCUCUCAUAUU